rnacentral:rRNA from 1 species
UACGUAGGGUGCGAGCGUUAAUCGGAAUUACUGGGCGUAAAGUGUGCGCAGGUGGCUUCGCAAGUCGAGUGUGAAAUCCCCGGGCUUAACCUGGGAAUUGCGCUCGAAACUACGGAGCUGGAGUAUGGCAGAGGGAGGUGGAAUUCCACGUGUAGCGGUGAAAUGCGUAGAGAUGUGGAGGAACACCAAUGGCGAAGGCAAUCCCCUGGGCCUGCACUGACGCUCAUGCACGAAAGCGUGGGGAGCAAACAGG